GUUAUAAAACCGAUCAAAGCCGUACGGAGUUUCCAGGAGGGUGGUCGCGUUACGCUCAGAACUUUCUUAAACAGACGGAAUCCUUUUGACUAAUAUAUAUAUAUGAUUCGGUUCGCGCAACGGCGAAAGUAGAAAAAAAAUGACGGAACUUCGUGUGAUUUGACAGUGAAGAAACAUUUAAUGGGAAAAGUGCCUCGGUAUCCUGUGAUAUCCGGAUUUUGGCCAGCGGACCGACAUUGGUAAUCAGUGAACGGAAGGAAAGCUCGAGGCGUGGAACGCGAAAGGGUGAGAUAGGGGUGAACUGGUGGAGGGUGAGGCUGAAGUGAUGACGGGCGAGGAAGGAAAGUGCGGGGGUGGAACUGGCACUGGUGGGGAUGCCGGUGUUGGAAACACGAACCUUACCGAUAAUGUGAACAAUAUUAAUGCCAACGUACAUGCGAAUCUUAACGCCAACAUUAAUGUCAGCCAACAGAAUGGAGGACCGGAAAAAGCGCCUGUCGUCGGCGGUACCAAUGUGGAAACGUUACCUCGCACUGGUAAACAGAGCGAUCCCAGUACGGCGUUUCUCCGUGCGGCUCGUGCAGGGCAGCUGGAAAAGGUUUUGGAAUACUUGGAAUCGGGAGUGGACAUUAAUGCUUCAAAUGCUAAUGGAUUAAACGCUUUACAUCUGGCAGCUAAAGAUGGUCAUUUGGAAAUCGUCAGAGAACUUCUCAAACGUGGUGCAGUGGUCGAUGCUGCUACCAAAAAGGGAAAUACAGCAUUACAUAUCGCUUCUCUUGCUGGACAGGAGGAGGUGGUACAAUUGCUGGUACAACGAGGUGCUUCUGUGAAUGCACAGUCACAAAAUGGGUUCACACCAUUAUAUAUGGCUGCUCAGGAAAAUCAUGAUUCCGUAGUCAAAUUUCUCCUGAGCAAAGGUGCCAAUCAAACAUUGGCUACUGAGGAUGGUUUCACCCCAUUAGCAGUAGCAAUGCAACAGGGCCACGACAAGGUGGUAGCAGUUCUGUUGGAAAAUGACACUCGUGGUAAAGUUCGAUUGCCUGCUCUCCACAUUGCUGCCAAGAAAGACGAUUGCAAGGCGGCUGCCCUACUUUUACAAAACGAUCAUAAUCCCGAUGUAACAUCGAAGAGCGGUUUCACACCGCUCCAUAUAGCAGCGCAUUAUGGUAACGAUCGAAUUGCAUCCUUGCUUUACGAUAGAGGAGCAGAUGUAAAUUUCGCAGCUAAGCACAAUAUUACGCCGAUGCACGUAGCGGCAAAAUGGGGAAAAAUAAAAAUGGUGAAUCUUUUGAUGAGCAAGGGAGCAAAUAUCGAAGCGAAAACGAGAGACGGCCUUACACCCCUUCAUUGCGCAGCACGAUCUGGUCAUCACGAGGUUGUUGAUAUUUUAAUAGAGAAAGGUGCACCGAUCGGUUCCAAGACGAAGAAUGGUCUUGCACCGUUGCACAUGGCUUCUCAAGGAGAUCACGUUGACGCUGCGAGGAUAUUAUUGUAUCAUCGAGCACCCGUGGAUGAAGUGACGGUAGAUUACUUGACGGCGCUACACGUGGCAGCUCAUUGCGGACACGUACGAGUGGCUAAGCUCUUACUUGAUAGAAAUGCUGAUCCAAACGCACGAGCUCUAAACGGCUUUACUCCACUUCAUAUUGCCUGCAAAAAGAACAGACUGAAGGUCGUUGAGCUCCUCUUAAAGCACAAAGCUAGCAUCGAAGCCACUACAGAGUCUGGAUUGACGCCUCUACAUGUAGCAAGCUUCAUGGGGUGCAUGAACAUAGUGAUUUAUUUACUGCAACAUGCAGCUAGUCCCGAUAUACCGACAGUAAGGGGCGAAACGCCUUUGCAUUUAGCUGCGAGAGCGAAUCAGACUGAUAUUAUCAGGAUACUUCUUAGAAAUGGUGCCCAAGUUGAUGCCAGAGCAAGGGAAGAACAAACACCUCUUCAUGUUGCUUCCCGAUUAGGCAACGUUGAUAUCGUAAUGUUAUUACUUCAACACGGUGCCGAUGUAGAUGCUACGACUAAAGAUUUAUAUACACCGCUUCAUAUUGCCGCUAAAGAAGGUCAAGAAGAGGUUGCAUCCGUUUUAUUAGAAAACGGCGCUUCGCUUACCGCGACGACCAAAAAAGGAUUCACUCCUUUACAUUUGGCAGCUAAAUAUGGUAAUAUGAAUGUAGCAAGAUUACUAUUGCAAAGGAAUGCACCAGUUGAUGCCCAAGGAAAGAAUGGCGUAACUCCACUUCACGUAGCAUCUCACUACGAUCAUCAAAAUGUAGCUUUACUUCUACUUGAUAAGGGUGCAUCACCUCAUGCUAUGGCUAAAAAUGGUCAUACCCCAUUACAUAUUGCAGCACGCAAGAAUCAGAUGGAUAUUGCAACUACUUUAUUGGAAUACGGAGCAAAAGCAAACGCGGAAUCAAAAGCAGGAUUUACGCCGCUACAUUUGAGUGCACAAGAAGGCCAUACUGAUAUGUCAACACUACUUAUUGAGCACAAAGCAGAUACAAAUCACAAAGCAAAGAAUGGUCUCACGCCGCUUCAUUUGUGCGCACAAGAAGAUAAAGUCAAUGUUGCAUCUAUUCUUGUUAAAAAUGGUGCCCAGAUUGAUGCUAAGACAAAGGCUGGUUACACUCCGUUACAUGUGGCAGCUCAUUUUGGUCAAGCAGCUAUGGUACGAUUCCUUUUACGAUCUGAUGCAGCAGUUGACAGCAGUACGAAUGCUGGAUAUACUCCAUUGCAUCAAGCUGCUCAACAAGGUCAUACAUUAGUGAUCAAUUUGUUGCUUGAGGGUAAAGCAAAACCGAAUACAACUACUAAUAAUGGACAAACUGCUUUGGAUAUUGCACAAAAACUUGGUUACAUUAGUGUCAUCGAAACUUUGAAGGUAGUUACAGAAACUGUCAUUACAACGACUCAUACGGUUACUAUUGAAGAAAAAUACAGAGUGCAAGCUCCUGAAUCAAUGCAAGAAACAUUUAUGAGCGAUAGCGAAGAUGAAGGGGGUGGUGAUGAAAUCGGCAUGGCAGCCAUGAAUGUGUACGGGCAGCCUCCACACGCGCAACACGUGUACCUUCCUUCUUACUACCAGGGCCAAAUGACCUAUACCCGUGAAGAUCCGAUGCUCAGCGACCAACAGCAAUAUCGAUACAUGACUGUUGACGACAUGAAAUCUAUGGGGGAUGACUCGAUGCGCGUCAACGUGACGGACGACGAGAGGGAUAAUCGGCAUUCCGGAGCACCCACGAUAACCGAGAUGAUCACGAAGGAAACUUGUCAGCGUACAAAUGCCGCUAAUCUGAAACCGGACAAUGUUGAUAUCAAUAGGCACCCAGUUCACGUCGGACCGUCCCUAGAGUCCUUAAACACAUCGCUGGCAGCUCUUGGUACCAUGUCGAAAGGACAAGGAAUGUGGAGGGACAGCUUCCUGGUUUCGUUUCUGGUGGAUGCGCGAGGCGGUGCGAUGCGCGGAUGCAGGCACAGUGGUGUGCGCGUGAUCGUUCCUCCUAGGAAAGCAGCGAUGCCUAUGCGCGUCACAUGCAGAUACCUGAGAAGGGACAAAUUGACGAACCCGCCGCCUUUGAUGGAAGGGGAGGCUCUUGCGAGUCGUAUCCUGGAGUUAGGACCCGUGGGCGCCAAAUUUUUAGGACCCGUGAUCAUAGAAGUACCACACUUUGCUUCGUUGCGAGGAAAAGAACGAGAAAUAGUUAUACUCCGAUCAGAUAAUGGAGAGACUUGGCGCGAGCACACCUUGGAAGCCAGCGAGGAGGCCGUCCAAGAUGUGCUUAAUGAGAGCUUUGAAGGAGAAGAAUUAAGCCAGCUCGAGGAUCUCCAAACUUCUCGAAUCGUGAGGAUACUUACCGCAGACUUCCCACAUUACUUCGCAGUAGUGUCCCGUAUCAGGCAAGAGGUUCACGCAGUUGGUCCAGAAGGUGGCACCGUUUCUUCGUCAGCCGUACCUCAAGUCCAGGCCGUAUUCCCACCAGCGGCUCUCACUAAAAAGAUCAGAGUUGGGCUCCAGGCGCAUCCAAUACCGGCAGAUCUUGUCGCCAAGCUGCUCGGUAACAGAGUGGCUGUAUCACCGAUCGUAACCGUUGAGCCGAGACGAAGAAAAUUCCACAAACCGAUAACCUUAACCAUACCCGUGCCUCAAGCAGCCAAUAAAGGCAUGAUCAAUCAAUAUUCAGGAGAUGCGCCGACGCUGAGACUUCUGUGCAGCAUAACUGGAUUGAGUCAUUUAGGGGGUCAGUCUCGGGCAGUCUGGGAGGAUGUCACCGGUUCGACGCCAUUGACGUUUGUGAAAGAUUGCGUUUCCUUUACUACCACGGUAUCCGCUCGCUUCUGGUUAAUGGAUUGUCGGAAUAUAUCCGAAGCCACGAAAAUGGCUACGGAGCUAUACACACACGCGACACACGUACCUUUUAUGGCUAAAUUUGUAGUAUUUGCAAAGCGAGUAGAUCCAUUGGAGGCAAGAUUGCGCGUAUUUUGUAUGACCGACGAUAAAGAGGACAAGACCUUGGAAAAUCAAGAGCACUUCACGGAAGUAGCGAAGAGUCGAGACGUGGAGGUGUUGGAGGGGAAGACGCAAUACAUGGAGUUUUCGGGUAACCUCGUGCCUGUGUUGAAGAGCGGCGAACAGCUUCAAUUGCCGUUCAGAGCUUUCAAGGAGAACAGAGUGCCGUUCACGGCGAGAAUAAAGGAUCCGGACGCAGCCGAUAUGAUGGGUCGAAUAAUGUUCAUGAGCGAGCCGAAGGUUCCUAAAGGCGAAUUGCCUCAGACCCCUAUAUGCACGUUGAACAUUUUGUUGCCGGAGAAAAUCUCACCGGAACCAGCCGUCUCCGAGGUCGAUUUAUUAGAGCUCUCGAAGAAUUAUAGUUUUCUACGCGACGGCGGAAUAAGCCGUCCAGACGCUAUUCACAGAGCCACUAUUCGAUUGACCGAUAUUGCAAAUUUGUUGGACAAAGAUUGGGAGAAACUCGCGGAGGAAUUAAACGUACCGCCGAACGAAGUGUCGACGAUCAAGCAAGAGUACGCUAACAAACCGGCGCAGCAAGCUGCAGCGAUGCUCAAAGUUUGGCAGAGCAAUGGAAAUAAAGCAACAGGAAAUACUUUGGAGAAAGCGUUAAACAAAAUUGGCCGCGAUGACAUCGUGAAAAAAUGUAUAUUCAACGUUGAAUUGAUUACGGACGACGUGGAGAAAGCUGUCGCGAGAGUUCGAUUAGAUCAACCUGGAUUUGAUUCUUUGAAAGAAGAAUUGGGUCCUUCAAGGGAUACCUCUCUUCGCCGUGACGCAACGAUGGAUCCAAAGAUGAAUCCUGAUUACGAUGACUUUAAUAAGAGCAAGGAGUCGGGAUCUAUGGAAGAACUCGAUAUAAGCGGCACUAAACGAGAUAAAUCAAAACAGCAUGUCACGAUCACAAACGGCACUGUAUUCAACGGAACCUCGACCCCUAUCAAAGAUAAAUACGCAAGCGAGGAGAAAGAACUGGGGGAUGUAAUGGCCGAUUUUCUCGAGCACAAAUGUCACGUUAGCGAUACGAUGAGCAAAAAGUUGCGCGAUGAACUUGACGACAAAGACAAAAAACGACAGAGGGUGAUCGCAGACGCCAACAAAAUAGUAUCCGACGUAACCGAAGAGGCGGCAAGACGAGCCCAGGAUCUAGCCGAUCAAGCACAAUCAUUGGCGAAAUCAGGGCAUGAUUCGGCUGAGAUUGAUGGGACUCGUGUAGAGAGGCAUGCUACUUCUGCUCCAACAAAGCAACCUGUUCCCGCCCCGCGACACUCUACCAGGUCGUCCAUCAAAACAGACUUUCAUCUAGACUUGGCAGAUACCCCGUACACGCCUUACAGUCCGAAAACUGGUAAGGCGAGGGACGAGCAAUCGAGACCGGUUCAGGGACACCAUUUUUCCCCGGAUAAGAACAGCCCGACGAGUAAGAUACCGGUGAGAGUAAAGAAAUCGAUGGAGAACGGGAGGGCGAGCAAAAUCGAGUUCGACGAUCGACGAUCGGAUUUUGCCGCGACGGGAAAUCGGGAAAAUGGCGACGACGACGAGUCGCUCGGCGAGAAAGAGGCGCGGCAACCCGAGGAGGACAAGGAGAGAAGCGACUCUUCCCUGAAAUCCGAACCGUCGAACGAGACCCAGACGGGAACCAUAAUAGAAGAGACGUGCUGUCCCGCGCUCCCCAUCGACGAACACGAGACCGCUCUCGUAAAGAGAACGGAAACCGUGACCACCGUGAUCAGAGAGGAAACGAGGGAUCGUCCAUCGUUCGUGGACGAAUCGACGACGAGAGAGACGUCGACCCGCGUGGAGAACUGGCCGCUCGAUUCGACGACGAUAUCGAAACACGACGAGAGAGGGAAGACGGAGGUGAUGAGAACGACGGUGAUGACGACUGUCCGAUGCACCACGACCACGGAAUCUUAUCUUGGGACGGAUCGAAGCGAGAGAAUCGUGGAAAGAACGGAGCGUGGAAACGGCGUGGAUUACGACGUCGAACAGGCGUCGGGUAAUAUGGUAAAAAGCGACACAGAGUUGUCCGAGCCGUGGGGCCAGGCCAGCCUGUCGGAUCGUUCGUUCCCGAACGACGAGAAGGUAGAGCAAUGGGAGAGCCAGCUCUCCCAAGACACGUCGCCCGGCUCCGGUAACGGUGACAUUUAUACUAAGAACGGUAGCUCACGGCAUGAUUCGAACAGCGACACUGAUAGUGACGGUUCACCAAGAUCGAGGAGAAGAUCUCCGAGCAAGAGGUGUACAUUGGGCAGUUCCAGCGGGUCUGAUGUAGCACUGCACGAAGGUGCGGAGCUGUCCCCGUUGGAGGACGACCAAGGUACCGCACUCACAGCUAACCUUCUAAAAUCUGACUUUUUGCAACUUAGCGAGCCAUCCUACAUGGAAACGACAACGACAGAAGAGGACCCUGAAACUCAGGAAAGAGUAACGAGAACUGUUCAAGUAAUUACAACAACGAGCGGAACCGCCAGUGGUCCAGACGAAUUGCGAGAGUCCAUGCAAAAGAUCGUCGAUAGAUUCAUGAUGGAGGAAAGGCGAGAUCAGUGAAGCAUGAAGAGGUCUCAUGGGCGAUUAUAAAAAUAGAGAGAAUUGAAUUCUUCGCCAUUUAAUAAUCGUGCAUAAUAGAGAAAGAAAGAGAGAGAGCGAGAGAGAGAGAGAGAGAGAGAGAGAGAGAGAGAGANCGUUUAAAUAUAAAUUCUUUAGUACUAUAAUUGAAUGAAAACAUCUAUCUAAUUUGGCGUAUCCUCGAACGUCAAAUGAGAUUAUCUUUUAGAAAAUUAAAACAGGAGCAUAGAAAAAAAAAAGAAUCUUUCGAUCUUGCUCGCAUGUAUGUCAGAUAAUAUCGUGGAUUAUUCUCGCAAUGCUUCGUGAAAAUACGUGAAAAAUAUGUGCACGAUACUUUAUUAUCAUACUCAUGGCCUACGCUUCGAAUUUGCUUGCCUUUCGGUUAUUGAGUUGCCUUAUAUUAUAUUUACGUUUAAUCUUGCUAUUAAAUAAUAUCAUCGCUAGUCCGACUAGCCGAUUUCGCUAGUCUUCACUAAGCCAACCCGUCCAUGUACAACGCCUUUCUCGUGUUGUUCAAAGCGAAAAGAAACAGAAGAAGAAAAUUAACGAAGGAGUAAAAACGCUUACGAUAACAAAAUGUGGACAAAAAACAAUGGAAAAAAAAAAAAAAAAAAUAUUCGUCUGAGAGAUGCAAGUCCGACCAACAUUACGGCGAUAUAUAUUUGUAAACAUUUUUUGAAAAUUGAAAGAAAGAUAGGUGAAGACGAUGGUAUCGAAAAAAAAAAAUAGAUCUUACAGUGACUUCGCAUAACUCGCCAUUUGGCAGUUCAUUUUAGCUUUAGAAUGAUUGUAUAUCUAUCCAUGCAAUACAGCGCUUGAUAGGUCAGCAAACACUUGAGUCACAUUUUUUGACGAUGAACUGCACACACAUAUACAAAUUCUAAAAAAAAAAAGAAAAAAAAAUGAUUUCUUGUUGUUAUUCGAAUCAUUGGAAAUCCCCAGACAAAAUGUAAGAUUGAAAAUUCUUAAGAAAAUAUCGGAUAUCGUCUAUUUCCGAUUUGAGUAGCGACAAGAAAUGUGAAUGUUUUUAUGAAUCGUAAUGUAAAUUUAACUUAUUUAAAAGAAUAUUUCCUAACAAUUUUUAAUUGUAUAUAUGAUAAUUUCUUAGCGUAACUUAUAUAAAUGUACUAUUAUACGAUUGUAAUAAUUGCAAGAUUAAAACAUGAAUAUUUUAUUUAUAUAGCAGAAUCAUUGGACGAAUGUUACACGCAUAAAUCAUAAAAUCAGAAGGAAUGUUAAUCGGCGAUCUAUCCUUCGUGAAAUCAUGUAAAUUAUUAUAAUUAUUGUAAAAGAGAAAAAAAAAAGGUAAAAUGACAUGAUGAUUAUAGAAAAAAAGAAAUGUGUUGUUUAAACUUUUAUGACUCGCGAAACACUUAAUAUUUAAGCAGCGUUAGCUUUCAAUGUAUAACACAGUUUUAAAAGGCACAGAAAGGAAUCGUAUAUAGUAUGUAUUUAAAAGGAAAAAAUAUAUAUAUAUAUACAUAUACAUAAAUAUACAUAUAUA
rnacentral:misc_RNA from 1 species